rnacentral:lncRNA from 1 species
CUUUCUAUUUCACACAAUUUUACAUUUACGAGCAUAUCAUCGAGACGUUGACUGCGGUUUCUAAAAUGCGAGUCCUGUCGACUGUGGUGAACAGGUGAUCGCCGAGAUGACCGGCGGCGGAGUAGACCGCAGCGUGGAGUGCACGGGCAACAUCAACGCCAUGAUCUCCGCAUUCGAAUGCGUCCACGAUGUACUUUCUCUCGAUUGCUGAGGCUUCAUAAGCGGAAAUCUAUUCUUAUUUCAGGAUCUCUAAUCUAGUAUGGUUGACUUCACGGUCGCAGGGCUGGGGUGUCGCUGUGUUGGUCGGUGUGCCUCACAAGGACGCCGUGUUCAAGACCUCCCCAGUGAAUUUCCUGACUGAGCGGACCCUCAAGGGCACCUUCUACGGGAACUACAAGCCUCGCAGUGAUAUCCCUGGUGUGGUGGAGAAGUACAUGAACAAGGUAAGGGAACUCAGUUUCACCUUGCCACAUUAGUUCUGAGCGGGACUGAAUGAUCGAUGUCGGUGUUUGCUAAAAAACGUGCGUCUGUUUCUUUGGUGAUUUGACGGUGCAGGAGCUGGAGCUGGAGAAGUUCAUCACCCACGAGGUCCCCUUCUCCGAGAUCAACAAGGCAUUCGAUUUAAUGCUCAGAGGAGAAGGCCUGCGCUGCCUUAUCCGAAUGUAACACUGAGUUAUACUCCUGCCUGCUACUACCGAUGAAGGCGUUCUGUUUGAUGAAGGAUUGAUGCCGUUUUUAAUUGAGAAAACAUGUAAAGUUUUUCUGUUGUUGUUUCAAGGAGAUUGAACCCUAAACAGAUACCUUAAUUUGAAGAUGUGAGAAGAAUAAGAUUGUAGGAAGAACUCACUAGGGUUUCAGGAUCUAGCUGCUGCCCCCUUCACCUUAGGCCUCUGUAUUAGGCUUCCAAGAUCCAACACUCUUUGCUUCAGUUGAGAACAGCCGAUCUCCUACCGGGCACCUCAGAGAAUGCCCAACCUAUUUCCGUCUUCUUGAGAGAGCGAGAGGAGGAGAGCCACGAAGAGUGGGAGGAUGUAUGCACGGGAUUGAAAAAUGACGAGUAUUAGGUCUAGUGCUUUAUAUAUCAGGACAUCCAAAUUAUCACGUCAGUACAUAUAUUUUUAUAGAUCUACACAACUUGCGGAGUACAUUCAGCAAAUCAUAUCUCAGCAUACAAAGUUUCACCGGUGUAGGGAUUUCAGCCACCCUAAAUCCACCACAAUGGCGCCAACGAGGGAAGGGUAGAGGCCUGGGGAGUAGCCUAAUGGGAUGAGACAACUGGUACUCCACCAAUGCGGCAGCAAUGACGACGAGGAGGCAAACUUCUGCCUGCGCGUGGGGAUAAUGGGCAGGGUAAGGAAGUGAGAGGACCAGAGAUAUACUAUAAACAGGACAGUAGAGGAAUCAAAGGGUUGGCGACGGGGUGAUAGACCUCUGCUCAUCAAACGGGAUAGAGACCGUCUCUGAAAGGAUCACUGGUGUUACUGAUUUGUUUAAACUAGUUGGGCCAUUGCAACGGCCCAAGAGAGAAGAUGAUGAGUUAUAUCCGACCCGCAUCUGUUAUAAUGGAUGCCCAUUUGUUGUAAUGGUCUCUCGUAUGUCAUAACCGCUGUCCUUCUCACCCUUUUGUCUUCCCCACCCCACUCUUCCUCUAUUUACAGUGGAGGGGUGUAGGAGAAGGUAGAGUAAGAGUGUCAGGGUCGGGUCUGGGGUUGGAGGGAUACAAGAAAUCGUGAAACUCUCGGUCCUUUCCCUUUUUCCCCUCUAUAUGCAACUAGGACAGUGCUAGAAAUUGUGGCUCAGCAUUUUCAGUAAUGUAUCAUGAUGUAAGAUGUGUUUCAUAUGAUGGUUUGGUUGUUAUUUAGAUCUCCAUUUUGUGUUUCUUCAAGUAAGAAAAAAGAGGCAUCCAAAGCAGAUAGUAUUGUCUUCAAUGUUCCAUGAAGACAGCUCGUGUUGUAUUCUGUGCUGGUCUCUACAGACGCCAAACAUCACGCGCAAGAGACAGCACCGAGGACCCCGGUUUCACUCUUCGGCGACAGCGGUAUCGCAAACCAGGGUGGCGGCUUCAUCCGGUCGUUGUUUGAAGGGCCUAGUCCGCUGGAUCAAUCCACCACGUUUCAAGUAAUCCGAAGGAUGGAGCGGUUGAGUUACGACGGCGAUGAGCUGCUCCACGAGUACCGUCUCACGUAAUUGCCCAGCUCGGGAAAGACUCAAGACCUCUGGACUGGUCUAAUUUGCUGGUUGGAUAUUCGUCACCCUCUUUGUAACUCAAGAAACUACUAGAAAAUGAGAUAGGAACAUGAUUUGAAACCAGUUAUGUCGAGCCAUAAGCAAGCUUGAGAGUGAUCGAUGUAAAUUGUUUGGCUUUCAGCAUUUUAUUAAAAAAUGGAUUUCCCAAAAUCGAAACCUGAUGCGAUGGCCAACAGUGUUGAAUUUAUUUAAUAAAAAAUUCAUCAAUAUAAAAAUUAGAAUGUAAUCCGGCUGUUUUCGAGGUGUGAUUUCUGAAUCCCUCAAUUUUAUGAAUUUUAAAGAAUGCGUCAAUCAGGGAAUGCUCCGUGUGUAAUGAAGUAUUCCAGGAGUAGCUUAUCGUAUCAAUUAGAACAAAGCAAUUUAAAUAACUACGUGUACACCAGUAUCUUACUGACGUCAGAGUAAGGCCUGAGUCAAAAUCUAAGACGAUGCAGAUACAACUGAGGCGGACGCGUCAGCUAGCCACGCCGUCGGCUGUGAAAGAGGAAGACAGCCGCCGGGUGAGAUGUUUCCCGCAGCACAAGCGGUAUGGGCGAUUCGAGAAAGCACGAAUGCCCUCGAGUCUGCUCCCUAUAAAUGCUUACUCAGGCAUCUCUGUGUUUCUCAAGUUAAUAUCGGCCUUGCAUUACAACGAGCGAGCGACAACAACAGAGCAAAGAUGACGAGCACAGCUGGUCAGGUCAUCAAGUGCAAAGGUUCGUCCCUUCUGCCGUUUGUUGGUGUUUCAUUCUUUUGUUGCCUCAAGGAGACGGAGCUCAGUUUUCCCCCAAUUUUGAGUGGGGGCACAUGGGUUCUUCCGGUCUUCGUGAUACCUGGAGGGGGACAGAAAAUACCCUUCUGCUUGGCAAAGGCUGCAAAUUUAUCCUUACUUCUCUGGCCUGAUGUUGCAGCGGCGGUUGCCUGGGAGGCGGGGAAGCCGCUGGUUAUCGAAGAGGUGGAGGUGGCUCCGCCGCAGGCCAUGGAGGUCCGCGUGAAGAUCCUCUUCACCUCCCUCUGCCACACCGACGUCUUCUUCUGGGAGGCCAAGGUACGGAUUUCCUCCAUAGUAUCUCCGACAGACGGCGAUCCCCGGAAGAUCUCUCGGUCGAUGGAGCGCGGUGAUUGACGUGGUCUGGCUAUGGUGGCAUUGCAGGGUCAGACACCCGUGUUCCCCCGAAUUUUGGGCCACGAAGGAGCAGGGUACGCCUCCACCUUUCAAUUCCUCUCGCUUCCUCGGUCUCCCCGAAUAGUCUUCUUCUUUCUCUUCAUCAGUCUCCCCAUAUGGACUUAAACUUCGGCGUACUGGUGUUGAUGGUGAGCAGGGUCGUGGAGAGCGUGGGAGAAGGCGUGACGGAUCUGCAGCCGGGAGACCACGUGCUCCCGGUGUUCACGGGAGAGUGUAAGGAGUGCGACCACUGCAAAUCGGAGGAGAGCAACAUGUGCAGCCUGCUGAGGAUCGACCCUGACNNNNNNNNNNNNNNNNNNNNCGGCGUACUGGUGUUGAUGGUGAGCAGGGUCGUGGAGAGCGUGGGAGAAGGCGUGACGGAUCUGCAGCCGGGAGACCACGUGCUCCCGGUGUUCACGGGAGAGUGUAAGGAGUGCGACCACUGCAAAUCGGAGGAGAGCAACAUGUGCAGCCUGCUGAGGAUCGACCCUGACCGGGGCGUGAUGAUCGGAGACGGGAAGGCGAGGUUCUCCAUCAACGGGAAGCCCAUCUACCAUUUUCUCGGCACCUCCACCUUCAGCGAGUACACGGUGGUGCACGUGGGCUGCCUGGCGAAGAUAAACCCGUUGGCUCCCCUGGAAACGGUCUGCGUGCUCAGCUGCGGGAUCUCCACAGGUUCGGCCUUGUUCCUCUUCUGCUCGACUUCUCUAAUUAAAAAAAGAAAAGCAUAACCUUGGAACGUGUUCACACCAUCUUCUUCGUGCCAAGCAUAUAUUCCAAUUUUGGGAAUCAGAUCUUUUCUUAAUACCGUACAUGUUUUUUUGAACUUUUCGAAGGUUUCGGCGCGACGGUGAAUGUGGCCAAACCAAAGAAGGGAGCGUCAGUUGCUGUAUUCGGAUUGGGAGCCGUGGGCCUUGCCGUGAGUGUCUCGCUCUCUCUCUCUCACUCUCUGUUUCUCCGUAUAGUGGAUGGAUUUUGUUUUCUUCUCCGAUUAGAUGAUGACUCAUUAUAAUGGUAAUAAACAGGCUGCGGAGGGGGCGAGGGUCUCGGGAGCUUCCAGGAUCAUCGGUGUUGACUUGAACCCUGAUAGGUUCGAGCAAGGUGUGUGUUCAUUAUUUUCAAAAUCAAUGGGAUUUCAGCUGAUGAGAUCGGCAACAGAGUUUAAGACGUUUUCAUUGCUUUUUAUCACCAGCUAAGAAGUUCGGCGUGACGGAGUUUGUGAACCCAAAGGAUUACGACAGACCCGUUCAAGAGGUUCGAUUUCUGUUCGCACAAUUUUACAUUGACGAGCUCAGCAUCGAACCGUUGACUGUGGUUUCUAAAGUGCGAGACCUGUUGUCUGUGGUGAACAGGUGAUCGCCGAGAUGACCGGCGGUGGAGUAGACCGCAGCCUGGAGUGUACGGGUAACAUCAACGCCAUGAUUUCCGCAUUCGAAUGCGUCCACGAUGUACUUUCCCUGGAUAUCCCUCGAUUGCUGAUGCUUCAUAAACGGAAAUCAAUCCUUAUUUCACGAUCUCUAAUCUAAUCUGGUUGACGUCACGGUCUCAGGGCUGGGGUGUCGCUGUGUUGGUCGGUGUACCUCCCAAGGAUGCCGUGUUCAAGACCUCUCCUCUAAAUUUCUUGUGCGAGAGGACCCUCAAGGGCACCUUCUAUGGGAACUACAAACC